rnacentral:rRNA from 1 species
GUCGAACGCGAAAGUCCCCUUCGGGGGACAAGUAGAGUGGCGUCCGGGUGAGUAACACGUAGGUAAUCUACCUUCGGGUGGGGAAUAACGCAGGGAAACUUGCGCUAAUACCGCAUAAUGCAGCGGCACCACAUGGUGACAGUUGUUAAAGCGGGGGAUUUUCGAACCUCGCGCCUGAAGAGGAGCCUGCGGCAGAUUAGCUAGUUGGUAAGGUAACGGCUUACCAAGGCGACGAUCUGUAGCCGGCCUGAGAGGGCGGUCGGCCACACUGACACUGACAUACGGGUCAGACUCCUACGGGAGGCAGCAGUCGGGAAUUUUGGGCAAUGGGCGAAAGCCUGACCCAGCAACGCCGCGUGAAGGAUGAAAUCCCUCGGGAUGUAAACUUCGCAAGAAUGGGAAGAAUUAGCGAGUACUAAUACUGCUCGUGAUGACGGUACCAUUUGUAAGCUCCGGCUAACUCCGUGCCAGCAGCCGCGGUAAUACGGGGGGAGCAAGCGUUGUUCGGAUUUACUGGGCGUAAAGGGCGCGUAGGCGGCCAGCGCAAGUCAGUUGUGAAAUCUCCGGGCUUAACUCGGAAAGGUCAACUGAUACUGCGCGGCUAGAGUGCGGAAGGGGCAACUGGAAUUCUCGGUGUAGCGGUGAAAUGCGUAGAUAUCGAGAGGAACACCUGCGGCGAAGGCGGGUUGCUGGGCCGACACUGACGCUGAUGCGCGAAAGCCAGGGGAGCGAACGGGAUUAGAUACCCCGGUAGUCCUGGCCUUAAACGAUGGAUGCUUGGUGUCUGGA